UUGCUGUGAUGACUUAUCUUAGGACACCUUUGGAACACCCAUGAAAAAAAGGAGAUUAUUUCUGAGCAAC